rnacentral:lncRNA from 1 species
UCCCUCUUUGAUUUUAUAUAUAUGAGUUUUGCUAGAAUACUAUCGGUAGUAAAUAAGCCGUUUUACUACCGAUUUGUUUUCGAUGAUAGACCUUCCAAAUUGACGAUCAGCUCCGUUGAACAUGAUCUAUACCACUUGAAGUAUUUAGAAAUCAAAUUUCAAAUCAUUUCGACAUCAUUUGCCUAAUGAUCAAAGGGUUUCAAAAUUUGUAAUUUUAAUGGUCGAUAAGAAGCGUUUUCUCACUUAAUGGCGUAAAGAUAUCCAAAUCAAUUGAAUUUUUGUUAGAAAAUUCUUUAAACUAUUUAAAACAAGAUCUAUACUCCUGAUCUUAAUUACAAGACUCUUAUCAUUAUUUUUUAAAGAGUAUUCAUUUUUAGCCAUUCAUUUUUUUGUUCACUUGAUGGAUAAAAGAACAAUAUCAAAAGUGCGUGAAAUUUGAUAUCUAGAUAAUUUAAAUAGUUUAGAUCAUAUUUAACGGAGCCGAUCGUCAAUUUGGAAGCUUUAUCAUCGAAAACAAACCGAUAGUAAAACGACUCGUUUACUACCGAUAGUAUUCUAGUUCAACUCUCUCUCUCUCUCUCUCUCUCUAUAUAUAUAUAAUUUUAUUUAUAAAUAUAUAAUAAUUUAUUUUAUAUUAUUAAAUAUAUUAUUAUAUAUUAUAUUAUAUAUUUAUUAUAUAAUAUAUUUUAAAAUAUAUAUUUUUUUAUAAAUAUAAAUUAUAAUAAUUAAAUAUAUUAUAAUAAUUAUUAUAUAUUAAUAAUAUAUAAUAUAUAUAAUUACAGAAAAUAUAUAAUAAUUAUAAUAUAUUAAUAAUAUAUAUAACAAAAAAUAUAUUAAAUAAUUUUUCAUCUACUUUUCUUUUUCUUUCAACCAAACAACUGUCAAGGAAAACUACUUUUCUUUUCCUACAAACCAAACACAAAUGACGUAAAAUUUUUUUCCACCGAA